UGACACUUGCAAGAUUAUACCAGUUUCGGACUACCGAGCUAUUUAGAAGUUUUCCUUGCAUUUUGCAUUAAAGACGCUGUGCGAGUGUUAGAUCUCUAGUAACUUAAGACUUUCUAGGGCUUCUUGGAUUAUGUAUAGACAUACGCUGAUGUCAAGUUGAAAGGAACAAAUUUGGCCAAAGGAAACUUAAUGUGUCGAUCUGCUUACCAGGUUCUACAUGCCACAUCCCACAUUCUACAUGGAUAGUUCCUGGCGCGGUUUGUUGAUGUGCAGCCGCUGAGGAUCCUGCGGCGCCACACAAAUGUCGGUGAGGAUGACCACCUCGUAGGGACUGCAGUCGGG